GGCAGGAGGCUGGGUUCUAUCCCCAAGCCCCACCUCUAAGGAGCUCCCACUUACACCUGAGAGAGAGUCCAGCUUCAAGCUACACAGAGAUGCCUGUGCAGGGAGCGCCGAUUGCAGCCAUCCGUAAAGCCAGCCAGAGUCCACCACAGACAUGCCCACAAGAUCUCACGACCACGGGAGAUUCAGAUGGAAUGAUGUGAUGUGUCUGAAGAUGUGAAGGAGCCACCCAGACCUAAGCCACCUGGACAAAGAAGGGAUCUGGCUCAUCCAGGACCAUGCAACUUGGGCCAUCUAUAUCUGUGCUGUGGUUCGGAGUCAAGAUGCAGUUUCUCACGGUCUGCGGACAGUGGUAUCACCUCUCCACCAGGGCGUCGGGAAUCCAGGGUGACUGUGAUCACGAACCACCACACAGGAGAGACCAAGGGGCCAUUCGCUGGACGCAAGCAGGAAAAAGUCCCUUGGAAUAAUUUAAAAUGCAAAUUUUAGAUCAAAAUUCUGUGGCAUGUAAUCACCGGGUCUUUUUUAUCUCUGGACAACCCCCCAUGAGGCCAAUACCAUGGCUGUCAUCUGCAUGUCACAGAUGAGAUCACAGAAACACGGAGAGCAAGCAUGGAUGCAAAAUCAGGAGGCUGCUGAGCAGCGCAGAGCUGAGCACGGGGACAGUUGCACGUCCCAUUUCAGUGCUGCCAGUCUGUGGAAGAUGGCGGAACCACCUGGGCAGGGUCCACAAAUGCUCACUGUCUUUUCAGAUGCAGACUCACAGCACUGACCGCUACCUCUGGGGAUGGACCAGCUGAGUAAUUUGGAGUUGGAGAAGUUUGGAUUUGGGAAAGGUAGAAUGGCUAUGGGCCCUGUGAGAUGUCACUCCUCCCAGGAUGUAUGGGGCAGCGUCUGCUCUGCACCGCGUCUCUGCAGGGAAACCCAACCCUCCCAAAGGCACUGGGGCUCCUGGUAGCUCAAAGCAGGUUUUGCUAUCAGAUGAGCUGUGCCAAACGGGGGGAAAAGAUUCUUGCUUCAGAGCUCCUGGGAUUUAGAAUCAUGGGCGUGGAAGCUCCCCUCACCAUGUGCCAAUCCAGAAUGGGCCUUGGUCACAGCAAUGGGCCAGCCAUCAGCUCAGCAUGGUGCCUUGAUGGCCUGUUGGGGGCUGAGCUGAGAGUCCAGGCCCACCUGGAGCAAACCCCUGACUCUGGGGUUUUAGUGACUUGGUCUUCUGCACCCAGGUGAUAAGCAUAGAUGGCCUUGUGCGGGACUGUGGUGCAGCUGAGAGAACACGUGCUGAGUGACCACAGGACCUGAGCCCUGCACUCUUUGCCCCUCUGGGCCUCCAGGUUCCUGCUUGCCUUCGAAUUGCAACCAAGGGCCCCCUGGAGUGACCACUGCAUGGGCAGCACGCCUUCAUGUUUCUUACAGGAGGGUCAAACACAUCCCUCGACCACACUUUUCCAUCAUCACAAGGAAAUCUGCGGACGGCAGAGCAUCACCUCCCUCAGAGAAACACAGAAUGCUGCCUAUCCCUUUGCCAGGCCCUUACUUAAAGAACUGGAAGUGAAAUGAAAUCCUUGAAUAAAGUGACUUGGAAAACCCACAGGUACAAAGCACCAGGACCCUGUAGGGUCCAAGCACCUUCCUACUGCCAUGUAACGACAGGCGCCUGAAUGGCCACCUCUCCAUGUCAGAAAUACUAUUUGAUACUAAGCAGGAGAUCAGGCUUCCACCAGCCCCUGAUGUGUAAUGGCUUAUCCUAGGCAAACUGUCCUGCAGGCCAUGGACCCUCAGAACCCAGGGCAGCAAAGAGGAAAACUGGGUGAGUGGACAAAAAUCUGAAUGCAGUAGAAGGAGGCACUCUGGGGGCACGGGGGGAAGGAAGCGGUCAGGCUUGGCGCCACGCAGAGGCAGUGAAGCCAACAAGGCCAGGACUGGAAGGAGGAUGCUCUCCAAGGCGCAGACUCACACCCUGCCGGGUCCGGAUCCAGGCUCCACAAGGCGUCAGCUUGCUCACACUGGACCAGGCUUAUGGACAGAUGCAAAAGCAAGCUUUCAUGAGCCCCAAGUGAACCUUUUCCCCACAGGACUCUCAGAGAGGACUGACACAGAUGAUAGAUUAGGCUCCCCUCAGAGCGCACACACACUCCGUGGCUUGACCGUGGCCAGAACAGGAUGCACCCCCCCAGCCUCUGGGCUCCCACCGCGAGGCAAGCGAUUGCCCUGCAGUCCAAGUGCCCCAGCAUGCACUGUUAAUAUAUGAUUACCAUGUCCAGACACGCUAACAAAAAAGCACUGCACAGCAGGCACACUGCACUGGAGAAUCAGCGGUUUGCGCCUCAAGUCUAAUUAAGACAAAAGUUUUAGUGCGUUGGCUGUGGAAAGGCAUGCUAAUGAUUCACAAGCUGGCUUAACCCCGCCAUGAACACCUGUAUUUCAGCAGCUUCCCAGGAGGUGAUGGGGUGAUGUGGAAAGGGGAACCUGUCCUUCCCUUCACACUGAGUGGAUCUGCAAGCACAGGGCAGGGCAACUCAGUCUCCAAAACCAACAGGGCCAGUGCCAGGCUCAAUUUGUUCUUUCUUUAAAGUAGCUUCCAUAGAAAGCGUCACUGUCACCCCUACUCCAGACCCUGGGCUCUUUCCAAACCGGGUGAAGGGGUGACAGCUGCCUGGGACUCUUCCAGGACAGGGCUGUGUGGCCGGCCAUGGAGCAGAGGCCCCGUGGCACAGUGCACAGACAGCGUCCUCCCAGAGGCAGCUGUUCCCCACACUGACUUCAAUUCUGAUGGCACAAGGCCAGAAUGUCUUUCAUUAGUUCCCCAAACUCUGUCAUCAGGGAAGCAGACGAGCCCAGUGUGGAUUUUUUAAAGUCAGCACAUUCAAAAGCAUCACCCGACAUGAGGCCACACAUCCUAAAACACACACACUCCACACACAUGUGCUUAGCCAUGCAGGGACUUCACCCUCAGAGGUGUGCCCAGAAGAUGAUCUGCCUGGCCUAGACUGGGAAGGGUCUCAAAAAAAUCACCAAAGCCUCAAAAACAUGGUUUCCCAUGACAUUGGCAGUGGCCUCCCACUCAUUUCUAGAUGCCACUCUAUGCCCUUCGUCCAGCCAAAACCACCCUGUGACUGCUCCUCACAUCACUCAAACACAGGAUUUCCUGCAGCAGAUGUGACUCCAGUGGCUUCCAAGGCUGGAUGAGAGGAGAGUGAUGGGAGCGGUAUGUCCCCUUCCUCAUGCCCACCUCCCGGUCCACACGCCCUAGACCAGCCGCCUUCGAGAAUAAGGUCCUGUCCCACAAUCCCCAAAUUCCACUGAUUUCAUCUCCUGCAGCUUCUCUUAUAAUUUUGGUUGCUAUCAGUCCCUGAAUGCUUUAAGAAUAAAAAUGCCUUUCAGUAAUA